CAGCAGCCGCGGUAAUACGAGGGGGGCAAGCGUUGUUCGGAAUUAUUGGGCGUAAAGGGUGCGUAGGCGGUUCAGCAAGUCUCGUGUGAAAUCUUCGGGCUCAACCCGAAGUCUGCACGGGAAACUACUGGGCUUGAGUAAUGGAGAGGUGAGUGGAAUUUCCGGUGUAGCGGUGAAAUGCGUAGGUAUCGGAAGGAACACCUGUGGCGAAAGCGGCUCACUGGACAUUUACUGACGCUGAUGCACGAAAGCUAGGGGAGCAAACAGGAUUAGAUACCCUAGUAGUCCCUGUCUCUUAUAA
rnacentral:rRNA from 1 species